AACUUGCCAGAAGCGCGCAAUAAAUCAAAGUCAUAGCUAAUUAUUUGUCAUUGAAUUAAAAAGUGACGUCACAUAAUAGCGUUUAUAAAGCAAGAACCUUUAUUUUUCUCUUCAAUGAUAAAAAAACAACCUGCAUGAAAUUUGUUACAAGCAAUGAAUUUAAGAAAUCAAGGAGCAUAAAAAAAGGAUCACAGAAUACUUGCAACAAUGCCCGUUGUAUUAACUCUAUUGUACAUUUUCAUAUCAAUUAUUGUACUGAUGUGCGUAAUAUCAAGUUGUACUUAUAUUUGUCGAGUAAUCGUUAAACGACCAACAUUUUUAAAGUUAUGCGCUCUCAAAAAAAAGUUGGUUGGCGCAUCAGCACUUUCAAUAAAUGCACAGAAGUUGCCUGAAGAUUGUAUUGAAUCAGACUCCUCGUUAAAAUUACAUCAAAACGUAAAAAUUGUUCAACCUUCAAAAAAAAAUGAUGAAAAUGAAUACGAAGUACCUUUGGAAUCUAGAAGUCUGCAAAUCAAAAUUCAGGAAUCUCAAAGUGUGUGCAAUGAAAGUUUAAAAAAAUACAUACUCGUAGAAAUUAAACCGGACGAACAUUACACAGAACUAAACAAGACUUUAUGUAAGAAUGACUUUUGCAAAGUAUUGGUCGAAGAUAUGAGAAAUGAAUUCUCUCUUCCACCUCCUUACAUUAACUCUUAUUCCUUAUUAGACAAUUAUUUGAGCGACUAAUAAAAAAAAAACUUAAUAAUCAAAUUGAAUUAGUAUAUAUAUAAAUAAAAA